rnacentral:rRNA from 1 species
AGGCGACGAUCCCUAGCUGGUCUGAGAGGAUGACCAGCCACACUGGAACUGAGACACGGUCCAGACUCCUACGGGAGGCAGCAGUGGGGAAUAUUGCACAAUGGGCGCAAGCCUGAUGCAGCCAUGCCGCGUGUAUGAAGAAGGCCUUCGGGUUGUAAAGUACUUUCAGCGGGGAGGAAGGGAGUAAAGUUAAUACCUUUGCUCAUUGACGUUACCCGCAGAAGAAGCACCGGCUAACUCCGUGCCAGCAGCCGCGGUAAUACGGAGGGUGCAAGCGUUAAUCGGAAUUACUGGGCGUAAAGCGCACGCAGGCGGUUUGUUAAGUCAGAUGUGAAAUCCCCGGGCUCAACCUGGGAACUGCAUCUGAUACUGGCAAGCUUGAGUCUCGUAGAGGGGGGUAGAAUUCCAGGUGUACGCGGUGAAAUGCGUAGAGAUCUGGAGGAAUA